GCUUUGUCCCCUCUGAUCACAUACCUUUAGGUUUGGAUUUCUGAAAUUUGGGGUGAAUUUUGAUCAGAAUUCGAAGGAACAAGAGAAAAAAAUGAGCUUUCAAGAUCUAGAAUCGGGUCGAUCAGUGGGUCCACGUCGGGGCUUUAUGAACGGGAAGCAAGACACUACCCAAGCGGUCGCCUCAGGAAUUUUCCAGAUCAACACCGCCGUCUCCACAUUUCAGAGGCUGGUUAACACCCUAGGUACACCUAAGGACACCCCUGAGCUACGCGACAAGCUGCACAAGACAAGGCUACAUAUUGGGCAAUUAGUGAAAGAUACUUCCACAAAACUUAAGCAAGCGAGUGAAACAGAUCAUCGAGUUGAAGUCAGUGCUAGCAAGAAA
rnacentral:misc_RNA from 1 species